rnacentral:rRNA from 1 species
GUGAGGUAACGGCUCACCAAGGCAUCGACGGGUAGCUGGUCUGAGAGGAUGAUCAGCCACACUGGGACUGAGACACGGCCCAGACUCCUACGGGAGGCAGCAGUGGGGAAUAUUGCACAAUGGGCGCAAGCCUGAUGCAGCAACGCCGCGUGCGGGGAGAAGGCCUUAGGGUUGUAAACCGCUUUCAGCAGGGAAGAAACUGACGGUACCUGCAGAAGAAGGUGCGGCCAACUACGUGCCAGCAGCCGCGGUGACACGUAGGCACCAAGCGUUGUCCGGAUUUAUUGGGCGUAAAGAGCUCGUAGGCGGUUCCGUAAGUCGGGUGUGAAAACUCUGGGCUCAACCCAGAGAGGCCACCCGAUACUGCGGUGACUCGAGUACGGUAGGGGAGCGGGGAAUUCCUGGUGUAGCGGUGAAAUGCGCAGAUAUCAGGAGGAACACCAGUGGCGAAGGCGCCGCUCUGGGCCGUAACUGACGCUGAGGAGCGAAAGCGUGGGUAGCAAACAGGAUUAGAUACCCUGGUAGUCCACGCCGUAAACGCUGGGCACUAGGUGUGGGUCUCAACCAACGAGAUCCGCGCCGUCGCUAACGCAUUAAGUG